rnacentral:sRNA from 1 species
UCAGCUGGUACUCCUGGUUAAUCAACAGCUUCGUCAACGGGGUCUAUGCCUUUGGUUUCCUCUUCAUGCUGCCCCAGCUCUUUGUGAACUACAAGGUAAGGCGGUGUGUGCUGCCCGCGGCCCGGCCCCCGUCUCCUGUGCUGCCCACAGCUGACCUGGGCCUGUCUCUCCUGUUGCAGUUGAAGUCAGUGGCACAUCUGCCCUGGAAGGCCUUCACCUACAAGGCUUUCAACACCUUCAUUGAUGACGUCUUUGCCUUCAUCAUCACCAUGCCCACGUCUCACCGGCUGGCCUGCUUCCGGGACGACGUGGUGUUUCUGGUCUACCUGUACCAGCGGUGG